AUGCCGCGUGUGUGAUGAAGGUCUUAGGAUCGUAAAGCACUUUCGCCAGGGAUGAUAAUGACAGUACCUGGUAAAGAAACCCCGGCUAACUCCGUGCCAGCAGCCGCGGUAAUACGGAGGGGGUUAGCGUUGUUCGGAAUUACUGGGCGUAAAGCGUACGUAGGCGGAUUGGAAAGUUGGGGGUGAAAUCCCAGGGCUCAGCCCUGGAACUGCCUCCUAAACUAUCACUCUAGAGUUCGAGAGAGGUGAGUGGAAUUCCAAGUGUAGAGGUGAAAUUCGUAGAUAUUUGGAGGAACACCAGUGGCUAAGGCGGCUCACUGGCUCGAUACUGACGCUGAUGUACGAAAGUGUGGGGAGCAAACAGGAUUAGAUACCCUGGUAGUCCACACCGUAAACGAUGAAUGCCAGUCGUCGGGCAGUAUACUGUUCGGUGACACACCUAACGGAUUAAGCAUUCCGCCUGGGGAGUACGGUCGCAAGAUUAAAACUCAAAG
rnacentral:rRNA from 1 species